UUAGAGGAUUUGAAGACUUCAACUUGCAUACUUGGAGGAUUUGAAGACAUCAACUUGCAUACUUGGAGGAUUUGAAGACUUCAACU
rnacentral:pre_miRNA from 1 species